rnacentral:rRNA from 1 species
CGAACGGGUGAGUAACACGUGGGUGAUCUGCCUCGCACUCUGGGAUAAGCCUGGGAAACUGGGUCUAAUACCGGAUAUGACCACGGAUCGCAUGGUUUGUGGUGGAAAGAUUUAUCGGUGCGAGAUGGGCCCGCGGCCUAUCAGCUUGUUGGUGGGGUAAUGGCCUACCAAGGCGACGACGGGUAGCCGACCUGAGAGGGUGACCGGCCACACUGGGACUGAGACACGGCCCAGACUCCUACGGGAGGCAGCAGUGGGGAAUAUUGCACAAUGGGCGAAAGCCUGAUGCAGCGACGCCGCGUGAGGGAUGACGGCCUUCGGGUUGUAAACCUCUUUCGACAGGGACGAAGCGCAAGUGACGGUACCUGUAGAAGAAGCACCGGCCAACUACGUGCCAGCAGCCGCGGUAAUACGUAGGGUGCGAGCGUUGUCCGGAAUUACUGGGCGUAAAGAGCUUGUAGGCGGUUCGUCGCGUCGAUUGUGAAAACUUGCAGCUCAACUGCAAGCUUGCAGUCGAUACGGGCGGACUAGAGUACUUCAGGGGAGACUGGAAUUCCUGGUGUAGCGGUGAAAUGCGCAGAUAUCAGGAGGAACACCGGUGGCGAAGGCGGGUCUCUGGGAAGUAACUGACGCUGAGAAG